CAGUCGCCACGGGAAUACGUAGGUGGCAAGCGUUGUCCGGAAUUAUUGGGCGUAAAGCGCGCGCAGGCGGUUUCUUAAGUCUGAUGUGAAAGCCCCCGGCUUAACCGGGGAGGGUCAUUGGAAACUGGGAGACUUAGAGUGCAGAAGAGGAGAGUGGAAUUCCAUGUGUAGCGGUGAAAUGCGUAGAUAUAUGGAGGAACACCAGUGGCGAAGGCGACUCUCUGGUCUGUAACUGACGCUGAGGCUCGAGAGCGUGGGGAGCAAACAGGAUUAGAUACCCCCGUAGUCCCUGUCUCUUAUA
rnacentral:rRNA from 1 species